UAUGUGUAUAUAUAUAUAUGUGUGUGUGUAUGUGUGUAUAUAUACAUAUAUAUAUAUACAUAUAUAUAUAUACACAUACA